GGUCAGAAGAUAUGGUGCACUUAGCUCACAACUCCAACUAGAAACUGGAAAAUUCCAAUAAGACCAAGCAUGAGUGACAAAGUACAAAGCAGAAUCUUCUCCCUGUACUGCUAACCAUGCUAACAUUGCAAAGUUAGGGAGUAAUUUGACAUCGUGUAAACCAACAGUUUACAAAUCCUGUUCCCUUAAAUCCCACUGUAGCUCAUGCCUCUGGGACACCUACCACAUUUGUUGAGGAAGAAUGUAUUCUGCAGCACUGCUCAAAAUGGUGAUUAGGAGGACUGGUAGGUAUGGUGAGAAGGACUGGUGGGUAUGGUGAGGAGGACUGGUAGGUAUGGUGAGAAAGACUGGUAGGUAUGGUGAGGAGGACUGGUGGGUAUGGUGAGGAGGACUGGUGGGUAUGGUGAGGAGGACUGGUGGGUAUGGUGAGGACUGGUGGGUAUGGUGAGG
rnacentral:lncRNA from 1 species